ACGAAUAUUCCCGCGCGCUUCUGUCGGCCUAAACAGGGACAGAACGCUGACUCACUGUCCGUCAGUCUGAAGACAACCUGCCUCAGCACAACCUUAUUCCAUGUAGACUGCAUUAUCUAGGCUACACAGCUCCAAGUCCGAACAUGGGGAAGAAACGAAGGAAUUUGAACUACAAGGAGGACAUCAGAUCGUUUUUCAGUCCACCAAAACGCGCAGAAGUGGAUCCUGAAAAGGGAAGUGGAGACGCCCAGGGAGAAGAGUUGAACAACCAGGACAGAAACAUGACGCCAAGACGCUCUAUACUUAAGGAUUUGAAUCACAAACCAAAGAUAAAGACUGAGGAAGCUGCUGGGUCAGAGUGACUAUACAAUCAGCAAUAUUAACGUCAAAACCAUUCUGCUGACCCCAAGACAAGGAAAGAAAACUCUUUAACCUUUUCAAUAAUUACAAAUUCCCAUCACUCCCAAUAACAACUAGUCACCAAUCUUUUAAUUUGAUCA
rnacentral:lncRNA from 1 species